AGCCUUACGUCAUAGUGCGACGUGAAGUCAUGGGCAAUAGCGACAGCAGCGCGCACUAUUUCUCGAGUACAGUAGCAGCAGAGCCGAGGGUAUCGCCGAGUGGUCUUCACAGGUGAAGUUACUGCGCGCGUCCUUGUGGCUUUACAUGUGUAAAUAUCACAGAGAAUAAAAGGACGCGGGGCGGGUAAAUCAGUGAUUUUGAUUAGUCUUGGUAUUGAGAUUAAAAGGAUAUCCCUGUUGAAAAAAAACUAUUUUCAUCACAAUUGCAUUAAUUAGCAUUAUUAACAAUUGCAUGUUCUGUUUUUAGGCAAACACUGUGGCACCGGACGCGCAGGGUGGGGGUGCAGCGCAGGGUGGGGGAUGGCCCGGCCCGAUGGCAACGGGUUUCCCCUUUUCUAUCCACAUCCAAUCAGAAGCUCGCCAGGCCGUGACGUCGCACCUAUACUGUGUCGAGGUUCCCUCCUAAAUUUAUAUUGAGCAUUCCGACCGUGGACACGCUGUUUUUAUGAGGUUUAAGUGGUACUUCUAGGUUCAUUUUUAAAAAAGCACCGUUCCAUUUUUAUUGCGACAAGAUUUAUUGGCAUGACAUAAAGUGGCACACAAAAGCAACUGCAUUACAGCUCAGGAUGAAGUUUACAACCAUUUUCUUGGAAAGACAGCAUCAGGGGAUGAUAGGGAAGUCCGGCCAUGUGGGCUGCGAAUGAUGUAAUGAUGUCUGUGUGGUUUAUUGGAUGAGAGAAUUUUAUCAAUAAAGAUAAUAAAAGAAAAUACUACCCACCCUUGCAAAAUCAAAGCUAUCUGGUCAGGAUUACACCAGUGUUAAGUAACCCAACCCACAGUUCUUCUAUACUUCUAUAUAAACAUAUACCCAUAUUAAAAUCACUAGGAUGAAAAAGAUACCAAAAGGUCACUACUAAUACUGAUUAUUCUAAAAUCCUGAUUUUAAAACUAAAACCAAGACAAUAGUUUAAUUCUUGUUCAAAACAGGUUUAAUUGACCUGCAUAUUGCCAUGGGACACUUCUGCUGAUGACUUUGUGGCUGUGUCAUCCUCCUAGUGCAGCACUUUAAAUGCUAUAAGCUCAAACAAACAAAAGCAAAAAGAGAUAACUGUAGGUGUGUGUGUGUGUGUGUGUGUGUGUGUGUGUGUGUGUGUGUGUGUGUGUGUGCG
ensembl:lncRNA